rnacentral:rRNA from 1 species
AUGAUAACCAAGAAAAUCAAGCUGGUCAAUGUGGUCCAGGUCAUGCUAUUUCGCCGGAUUCUCCCGUGUCAGAGAUGGGCAUUCAACCUGUGGGAGUUCGACGCGCCCAACACCAGACACUGCAAGAGCUCUUUGACACGACGCACAAAGACGCCUGAAAGGUGUUGUUCAAGGCCAGCGAAGUUCCCCCCCACAUCCGAGGAUCGCGGACUCAGCGCCAGGCGCCAGGCCAAUGCGGAAUAUGUGGCGACGGCGGAGCGGAUCGACUGUCCGGCUCCGUUGCCCGAGGACCCAGCAGACGAACUCCCGACGGAGAUGCUGGCUCCGGCACCCUAUCAGGUGCCGGAGAAGAAGGCCAAGAAAAAGGCCAUGGGGACCAGAAGAAGUUCCCGGCGCAACGUGGUGCCGGACUCAUCGUCCGAAGACACCGAGGCGCACUACUCCAACGACAACGAGGAGGAGGAGGAAAACCCUCUCCCCGAAAACAAGGGGGGGGGGAAGAAGAGGAAAGCCACCCUUUCAGGGGAGGCCGAAGGGUCCAAGAAGGGACGGACCCUUCCUCCGGACCACUCCACCACUGCCGCCUAUAGCGAGGAGUGGCUACCCAGGGGCAAGCCCCUGGCAAGAUCUCCGGCCAGGUCCCAUCCCGAGGUUUCUUCUUCGGAUGGGUCUCUCAACGAUUCAGCAAUGAAUUCGCUCCCGACGGCCACCUCCCCUCGGCCAGCGGAUGACACGGAGGUGCAGUCCCAAAGGGUACCAGAGCAGGGGGAGGCGGCUCUGGAGACGCCCCAAGGCGAAAUUCCAGAUGCCGGGCACAUGGGGAGUAAGAUCCCCAUGGAUUAUGCUGACGAGAGCCGCAGCAAGCUGGGCUCCCAGCCGGACACUGCACCGGAACCUCCAAAGGUUCCGGAUUCGGGUGCACAACCCCUCGCUAGGGAGGGCGAGCCGGCCGUGCCGAUGACCUCCGUUGCGCCAGAGGCGUCAGAUAGUUUGCUGGAAGUGCUUCGCGGCGCUUCCAUGGGUGAAGAGCACCAUACUCUUAUGAGUGCGGUGAUUCAGAAGGUUCGGUCUGCCAAAAGAGGAUUGACCGAAGCCCGCACCAGCCUCCUGACAGGCUUUGAGGCGGUGCUGCUUGCCGCUGCUGCCUGGACAACAGAGGUCGCCGGACUCGAACGGGACCUGAAGCAGGCCGAAGAGGAGCUCGGCCUCACGAAGAGGCAGCUCGAAGAGAACAAAGGGGCCGCGACCGAAGUGGCGGCUGUGAAGAAAGCGCUAUCCGAGGCCGAAGGUAAGGCAGCCAUGGAGGCAUUGAGCGUGAAAAGCAAGAUGUUAGGGUGGGCGAGGUACAACAAGAGCUCCAGGAGUUUGGCAAGAAGUUCGAGUCCUUGGAGCGUGACUUCAAGACGAAAGAGUCCGAGCUUGCGAAGGCCCUUCAGAGCGCAAAAGAUGCCAGGGCCGAAGCCCAAAAGGCCCAGCAGGAAAUCCAGGCGGCCAAGAAGAUAG